rnacentral:rRNA from 1 species
GUGCCAGCCGCCGCGGUAAUACGUAGGGUGCGAGCGUUAAUCGGAAUUACUGGGCGUAAAGCGUGCGCAGGCGGCUUUGCAAGACAGAGGUGAAAUCCCCGGGCUCAACCUGGGAACUGCCCUUGUGACUGCAAGGCUAGAGUACGGCAGAGGGGGAUGGAAUUCCGCGUGUAGCAGUGAAAUGCGUAGAUAUGCGGAGGAACACCGAUGGCGAAGGCAAUCCCCUGGGCCUGUACUGACGCUCAUGCACGAAAGCGUGGGGAGCAAACAGGAUUAGAUA